rnacentral:rRNA from 1 species
UACGUAGGGAGCAAGCGUUGUCCGGAAUCAUUGGGCGUAAAGCGCGCGUAGGCGGCCCGGUAAGUCCGUCGUGAAAGUCAAAGGCUCAACCUUUGAAUGUCGAUGGAUACUGCCGGGCUAGAGUCCGGAAGAGGCGAGUGGAAUUCCUGGUGUAGCGGUGGAAUGCGCAGAUAUCAGGAGGAACACCAAUAGCGAAGGCAG